AUUAAAUGAUGAAAAGUGCUAACCAUUGAUUAAAUAAUGAUUUGCAUGUAUUAUUAGCUCUAUCUGAAUUU
rnacentral:snoRNA from 1 species